GAUGAACGCUGACAGAAUGCUUAACACAUGCAAGUCUUUGGCGAAGCUGUGCUUGCACAGCCUAGCCAAGGCGGACGGGUGAGUAACGCGUAAGGAACUUGCCCUGCAGUCAGGGAUAACAGACGGAAACGACUGAUAAGACCUGGUAAAGUCAGGCGGACUCAUGUCCAGCCUGAUGAAAAGAGAUGCUGCAGGAGAGCCUUGCGUCCUAUUAGCUUGUUGGUGGGGUAACGGCCCACCAAGGCGAUGAUAGGUAGCCGGCCUGAGAGGGUGGACGGCCACAAGGGGACUGAGAUACGGCCCUUACUCCUACGGGAGGCGGCAGUGGGGAAUAUUGGACAAUGGGGGCAACCCUGAUCCAGCAAUUCUGUGUGCACGAUGAAGGUUUUCGGAUUGUAAAGUGCUUUCAGCAGGGAAGAAAAAAAUGACGGUACCUGCAGAAGAAGCGACGGCUAAAUACGUG
rnacentral:rRNA from 1 species